AUAUGCUUAAGUUCAGCGGGUACUCACGUCUGAGUUCAGGUCGAAAAUUCAAACACGGAAUGCCUACCAGCGAAGCAUUCCACCCAGCACACAUGGCGAGCAGUUGCGUCCUAGUUACGGACCGUAAAACGCGAAAGAACCUGACAGUUUCGCGCCAACACAACCACACUCCACGGCCGAGCAUUUUCAAGAAUAGCGCAAGAACACGUCAUGCCGACAUGAUCUCACCAACAUAACAGGCACAGCAGUGCCUUUUAUGAUAACGACCCUGAACCAGGCGUGCCAAUGGAUGUAACUCCAAUGGCGCAAUGUGCAUUCGAAAGUUUUGUGUUCAAGGUUUCUGCAGUUCGCACUAAUUAUCGCAGUUGGCUGCGUUCUUCAUCGAUCCACGAGCCGAGUGAUCCACCGAUAAGACUAGAAUUUCUUUCUUCAACAAAGAAGUGGUCAAAAAAAUAAAUGAAAAAAAACACUGGCGGUGCCUAGCUGACACUCAUUGAGUCUUAAGCCACGUGCAGAAGCAUAGCACGGGCCCUACCACGUCGUCUCAUCACGGCCACGGACGUAGCACACAGGCACAGACACACCGCUAGUUACGGUUCGUAAGGCCAGGAAAGAACCACUUUCCCAGGCCAGUGUGUCACAUGUGCCAGGCACAACAACCGCUCAACGACGCACAGACACCAGCACAGCCCUUUGGGUUACCCAACGAGCGUGCUCGUCCAACGACGGUACAGCAAACCAACCAGCAAGGCGGUCCGCCACCAACUCGAUUGCUUCGCAGCCAAACCUCAGGCUUUUCACUUUGCUCAGCAACGAGUCAGUAUAUACCAAGCACCAUCCGUCGGAGAACACCACAAAGCACAGAGUGCUCGCAGGGUAGCCGUCCACUCAGUGUUGUCCCGUGCCCACAGACCAUCUCGACCCGGUCCGUGUGCCCGUCAGCAAACGGGGGGCCAUGUGGUUGGUGCCAAGCAACGUUUCAACUGGACAGCACAGGUUAAAUGGGUGAAUGGAAUCACUUUGGGUAAUGAUCCCACCACCAGGUUCACCUACGGAAACAAUCCAAAUUCCCCGGGCCGCCAUGGGGGGCCGGGAGAAUGGGAAAUUCGGGCCCAUUUCCCCCCUAUAUGAGGCCGAUUACAAUUCACUGGGCGGCGCGUUUUCAACCGCGGUGACCGGGGGAAACCUUGGGGUUCCCAACUUAAUCGGCUUUGAGAAAAUACCCCUUCUCCACCUGGGGGUAAUAACGAAAAAGCCCGCCCCAUUCCCCUUCCCACAUUUCGCACCCCCAAAGGGAAAGGACCCCCUUGACCGCCUAAAAAGCCCGCGGGGGUUGGGUGUCGCCCACGGCACGCCAUUUUAGCCUCUAACCCGCCCUUCUUUUUCUCUUUUUUCCGGGGCCGGGUCCUCGCGUCACAAGGCGGCUUCUGGCGUAUGGUUAGUCCGACCACAAAAACAGGGGGGAAAA
rnacentral:misc_RNA from 1 species